UACGUAGGGUGCGAGCGUUGUCCGGAAUUAUUGGGCGUAAAGGGCUCGUAGGCGGUUUGUCGCGUCGGGAGUGAAAUCCACUGGCUUAACUGGUGGCUUGCUUUCGAUACGGGCAGACUGGAGGUAUGCAGGGGAGAACGGAAUUCCUGGUGUAGCGGUGAAAUGCGCAGAUAUCAGGAGGAACACCGGUGGCGAAGGCGGUUCUCUGGGCAUGUCCUGACGCUGAGGAGCGAAAAGUGUGGGGGAGCGAACAGGG
rnacentral:rRNA from 1 species